GUGGGGGAUAUUGCACAAUGGGGGAAACCCUGAUGCAGCGACGCCGCGUGAAGGAAGACGUACUUCGGUAUGUAAACUUCUAUCAGCAGGGAAGAAGAUGACGGUACCUGACUAAGAAGCCCCGGCUAACUACGUGCCAGCAGCCGCGGUAAUACGUAGGGGGCAAGCGUUAUCCGGAUUUACUGGGUGUAAAGGGAGCGUGGACGGUGAAGCAAGUCUGAUGUGAAAACCCGGGGCUCAACUCCGGGAUUGCAUUGGAAACUGUUUUACUUGAGUGCUGGAUGGGCAAGCGGAAUUCCUGGUGUAGCGGUGAAAUGCGUAGAUAUCAGGAAGAACACCGGUGGCGAAGGCGGCUUGCUGGACAGUAACUGACGUUGAGGCUCGAAAGCGUGGGGAGCAAACAGGAUUAGAAACCGGGUAGUCC
rnacentral:rRNA from 1 species